rnacentral:rRNA from 1 species
AUGAACGCUAGCGGCAGGCUUAAUACAUGCAAGUCGUGGGGCAGCAUGAGUAGCAAUACUUGAUGGCGACCGGCAAACGGGUGAGGAACACGUACACAACCUUCCUUCAAGCGGGGAAUAGCCCAGAGAAAUUUGGAUUAAUACCCCAUAAUAUAUUUGAUAAGGCAUCUUAUUAAUAUUAAAGCUUCGGCACUUGAUGAUGGGUGUGCGGCUGAUUAGAUAGUUGGCGGGGUAACGGCCCACCAAGUCUACGAUCAGUAGCUGAUGUGAGAGCAUGAUCAGCCACACGGGCACUGAGACACGGGCCCGACUCCUACGGGAGGCAGCAGUAAGGAAUAUUGGACAAUGGACGAAAGUCUGAUCCAGCCAUGCCCGCGUGAAGGAUUAAGGUCCUCUGGAUUGUAAACUUCUUUUAUAUGGGACGAAAAAAGGGCAUUCUUGUUCACUUGACGGUACCAUAUGAAUAAGCACCGGCUAACUCCGUG